rnacentral:rRNA from 1 species
GACAGAGGCCUCAAGCGUUAGGCGGAAUCACUGGGCUUAAAGCGUGUGUAGGCGGAUCGUUAAGUGUCUUGUGAAAUCCCACGGCUCACCCGUGGAACGGCUGGGCAUACUGGCGAUCUUGGGCCAACUAGGGGCAACUGGAACAAGCGGUGGAGCGGUGAAAUGCGUAGAUAUCGCUUGGAACGCCAAAGGUGAAAACAGGUGCUGGGGUUGUGCCGACGCUGAGACACGAAAGCCAGGGGAGCAAACGGG